AAUUUAUUAUAAGAAAAAACUUCAAAUAUCCCCCGUGGUUUCGCACUUUCGCACUUUAUUACCCCGUGAUUUAAAGUGUAUCAAGUUAGUAUCAUGUGGUUUCGCAUUUUCUCACUUUAGUACCCUGUGGUUUAAUAUUUCUUGCGUGGGUCAAAUUCCAGACCUUCUAAUCUGCUUCUAGAAAUACCAAUCAUCUACGCAAACAAACCUAUAAACCCCACUCCAAAAAAUCUUUUCUACACUUGUCGUUUAUUUCACUACUCCAAAGGCUAAAAGACAGCACACAAGGGGUCCGAAUUCCGGACCUUCUAAUCUGCUAUUUCGGACCUUCGAAUCCUAGUUGAUUCACAUUUUUAGCUAGUUUAUUUCUAAAUGAAAUAAAAUGAAGCGGGUAGCAUACUAGCUAUCUCUCAAAAAACAAAAAAAAUCAAAUAUCUAGGCAAGUCAGUGGUGCUAAUUAACAUGCCCGUCACUUGUCAUUCUUUGCGGCCAACUCCUUUUUGGCUUACCUGCCACCACCACCACUUCCAUCAUUGCGUGGGUCGAAUUCCAGACCUUCUAAGAUGCUUCUGGAUAUACCAAUCAUCUACGCAAACAAACCUAUAAACCCCACUCCAAAAAAUCUUUUCUACACUUGUCACUUAUUUCACUACUCC
rnacentral:lncRNA from 1 species